UACGUAGGGUGCAAGCGUUAAUCGGAAUUACUGGGCGUAAAGCGUGCGCAGGCGGUUAUGCAAGACAGAUGUGAAAUCCCCGGGCUUAACCUGGGAACCGCAUUUGUGACUGCAUAGCUGGAGUACGGCAGAGGGGGAUGGAAUUCCGCGUGUAGCAGUGAAAUGCGUAGAUAUGCGGAGGAACACCGAUGGCGGAGGCAGUCCCCUGGGCCUGUACUGACGCUCAUGCACGAAAGCGUGGGGAGCAAACAGG
rnacentral:rRNA from 1 species